CCUACGGGGGGCUGCAGUGAGGAAUAUUGGUCAAUGGGCGAGAGCCUGAACCAGCCAAGUCGCGUGAGGGAGUACUGCCCUAUGGGUUGUAAACCUCUUUUGUCGGGGAGCAAAAGCCGGACGUGUCCGGCUGUGAGAGUACCCGAAGAAAAAGCAUCGGCUAACUCCGUGCCAGCAGCCGCGGUAAUACGGAGGAUGCGAGCGUUAUCCGGAUUUAUUGGGGUGAAAGGGUGCGCAGGCGGAUUUUUAAGUCAGCGGUCAAAUCGUGGGGCUCAACCCCAUCCAGCCGUUGAAACUGGGGAUCUAGAGUGUGCGAGAGGUAUGCGGAAUGCGUGGUGUAGCGGUGAAAUGCAUAGAUAUCACGCAGAACCCCGAUUGCGAAGGCAGCAUACCGGUGCACAACUGACGCUCAGGCACGAAAGCGUGGGUAUCGAACAGGAUUAGAUACCCCAGUAGUC
rnacentral:rRNA from 1 species